CCUACGGGAGGCAGCAGUGGGGAAUAUUGGGCAAUGGGCGCAAGCCUGACCCAGCAAAGCCGCGUGAAGGAAGACGGCUUUCGGGUUUUAAACUUCUUUUAUCAGGGACGAAGCAAGUGACGGUACCUGAUGAAUAAGCCACGGCUAACUACGUGCCUGCGGCCGCGGUAAUACGUAGGUGGCAGGCGUGAUCCGGAUUUACUGGGUGUAAAGGGAGUGUAGGCGGGAGUGCAAGUCAGAUGUGAAAACUAUGGGCUCAACCCAUAGCCUGCAUUUGAUACUGUACUUCUUGAGUGCUGGAGAGGCAAUCGGAAUGCCGUGUGUAGCGGUGAAAUGCGUAGAUAUAAGGAGGAACACCAGUGGCGAAGGCAGAUUGCUGGACAGUAACUGACGCUGAGGCGCGAAAGCGUGGGGAGCAAACAGGAUUAGAUACCCGAGUAGUC
rnacentral:rRNA from 1 species